AGGACAAACGCUGGCGGCGUACCUAAGACAUGCAAGUCGAACGGAUUGCGUAUCUUCGGAUGUGCAGUGAGUGGCGAACGGGUGAGUAACGCGUAGGAACCCGCCUCGACGUGGGGGAUAACACUUGGAAACAGGUGCUAAUACCACAUGUGGUCGAGAGAAGAAAGGCUUGAGCAAUCAAGUCGCGUUGAGAGGGGCCUGCGUCCGAUUAGCUAGUUGGUGGGGUAACGGCUUACCAAGGCGACGAUCGGUAGCUGGU
rnacentral:rRNA from 1 species